rnacentral:rRNA from 1 species
GAUGAACGCUGGCGGCGUGCCUAAUACAUGCAAGUCGAGCGAACGGACGAGAAGCUUGCUUCUCUGAUGUUAGCGGCGGACGGGUGAGUAACACGUGGAUAACCUACCUAUAAGACUGGGAUAACUUCGGGAAACCGGAGCUAAUACCGGAUGAUAUUUUGAACCGCAUGGUUCAAAAGUGAAAGACGGUCUUGCUGUCACUUAUAGAUGGAUCCGCGCUGCAUUAGCUAGUUGGUAAGGUAACGGCUUACCAAGGCAACGAUGCGUAGCCGACCUGAGAGGGUGAUCGGCCACACUGGAACUGAGACACGGUCCAGACUCCUACGGGAGGCAGCAGUAGGGAAUCAUCCGCAAUGGGCGAAAGCCUGACGGAGCAACGCCGCGUGAGUGAUGAAGGUCUUCGGAUCGUAAAACUCUGUUAUUAGGGAAGAACAUAUGUGUAAGUAACUGUGCACAUCUUGACGGUACCUAAUCAGAAAGCCACGGCUAACUACGUG